rnacentral:rRNA from 1 species
AUACGUAGGGGGCGAGCGUUGUCCGGAAUGAUUGGGCGUAAAGGGCGCGUAGGCGGCCUGUUAAGUCUGGAGUGAAAGUCCUGUUUUCAAGAUGGGAAUUGCUUUGGAUACUGAUGAGCUUGAGUGCAGGAGAGGUUAUCGGAAUUCCCGGUGUAGCGGUGAAAUGCGUAGAGAUCGGGAGGAACACCAGUGGCGAAGGCGGGUAACUGGACUGCAACUGACGCUGAGGCGCGAAAGUGUGGGGAGCAAACAGGAUUAGAUACCCUGGUAGUCCACACUGUAAACGAUGAAUGCUAGGUGUAAGAGGUAUCGACCCCUUUUGUGCCGGAGUUAACACAAUAAGCAUUCCGCCUGGGGAGUACGGCCGCAAGGUUGAAACUCAAAGGAAUUGACGGGG